rnacentral:rRNA from 1 species
CACUCCUACGGGAGGCAGCAGUGGGGAAUAUUGCACAAUGGGCGCAAGCCUGAUGCAGCCAUGCCGCGUGUAUGAAGAAGGCCUUCGGGUUGUAAAGUACUUUCAGCGGGGAGGAAGGCGAUAAGGUUAAUAACCUUGUUGAUUGACGUUACCCGCAGAAGAAGCACCGGCUAACUCCGUGCCAGCAGCCGCGGUAAUACGGAGGGUGCAAGCGUUAAUCGGAAUUACUGGGCGUAAAGCGCACGCAGGCGGUCUGUCAAGUCGGAUGUGAAAUCCCCGGGCUCAACCUGGGAACUGCAUUCGAAACUGGCAGGCUAGAGUCUUGUAGAGGGGGGUAGAAUUCCAGGUGUAGCGGUGAAAUGCGUAGAGAUCUGGAGGAAUACCGGUGGCGAAGGCGGCCCCCUGGACAAAGACUGACGCUCAGGUGCGAAAGCGUGGGGAGCAAACAGGAUUAGAAACCCCUGUAGUCCCAUG